rnacentral:miRNA from 1 species
UCAGACGUGUCAUUUUUCCUAUUA